rnacentral:rRNA from 1 species
GACGAACGCUGGCGGCGUGCUUAAUACAUGCAAGUCGAGCGAGGUUACUGCGACAGAUCCCUUCGGGGUGAAGUUGCUUUAGCCUAGCGGCGGACGGGUGAGUAACGCGUGGGUAACCUACCCUAAAGUUCGGGAUAACAGCGGGAAACCGCUGCUAAUACCGGAUGCCUUUACCAUGUGGCAUCACAAGGUAAAGAAAGGCGACGCUUUAGGAUGGGCCCGCGUCCCAUUAGCUAGUUGGUGAGGUAACAGCUCACCAAGGCGACGAUGGGUAGCCGGCCUGAGAGGGUGGACGGCCACACUGGGACUGAGACACGGCCCAGACUCCUACGGGAGGCAGCAGUAGGGAAUAUUGCGCAAUGGACGGAAGUCUGACGCAGCGACGCCGCGUGAGCGAUGAAGGCCUUCGGGUUGUAAAGCUCUGUCCUUGGGGAAGAAGGUCUUCGGACUUGACGGUACCCAAGAAGAAAGCCCCGGCUAACUACGUGCCAGCAGCCGCGGUAAUACGUAGGGGGCGAGCGUUGUCCGGAAUUACUGGGCGUAAAGGGUGCGUAGGCGGCCCUUUAAGUCAGAUGUGAAAGCCCGCAGCUUAACUGCGGAAUUGCAUUUGAAACUGGAGGGCUUGAGUGUCGGAGAGGGUAGUGGAAUUCCCAGUGUAGCGGUGAAAUGCGUAGAUAUUGGGAGGAACACCAGUGGCGAAGGCGACUGCCUGGACGAUAACUGACGCUGAGGCACGAAAGCUAGGGGAGCAAACAGG